rnacentral:sRNA from 1 species
AUGUCCAGCUUUGUGGGUUUACUUCGAUAUGUUCCCCAAAGCCUGGCAGAACCCUUGCUUGGUUGCGUGACCCGUUCUUACCCUUUCUCCUCAGUCUUCCCUUGGACCAGACGCUUCCUCGCCAGGGUCCUGGCCAAUCCCUGUCCUUCCCAGAAAACUACCAGACUCUUCCCAAGAGCACCCGACACCCCUCGGGGGGCUCCUCGCCACCUCCCCGAAACCUGCCAAGUGACUACAAGUAUGCACAGGACCGAGCCAGCCACCUGAAGAUGUCAAGUGAAGAGCGCCGGGCGCACCGGGAUGGCACCGUGUGGCAGCUCUACGAGUGGCAGCAGCGCCAGCAGUUCCGGCACGGCAGCCCCACAGCGCCCAUCUGCCUCGGCUCCCCAGAGUUCACUGACCAGGGCCGGAGCAGGAGCAUGCUAGAGGUGCCCCGCUCCAUCUCUGUGCCUCCAUCUCCUUCAGACAUCCCUCCCCCAGGACCCCCAAGGGUCUUCCCACCCCGGCGGCCACACACACCAGCAGAGCGAGUCACAGUGAAGCCACCGGACCAGAGGAGGAGUGUGGAUAUCUCACUGGGGGAUUCUCCAAGGAAGGCACGGGGCCACGCUGUCAAGAACUCAUCUCACGUGGACCGACGCUCCAUGCCCUCCAUGGGUUACAUGACCCACACCGUCAGCGUUCCCAGUUUACAUGGAAAAUCGGCUGAUGAUACCUACCUCCAGCUGAAGAAAGACCUGGAGUACCUAGAUCUAAAGAUGACAGGCCGGGACCUUCUCAAGGAUCGAAGUCUGAAGCCUGUGAAGAUCGCUGAGAGCGACACUGACGUCAAACUGAGCAUCUUCUGUGAACAAGACAGGGUCCUCCAGGACUUGGAAGACAAGAUACGAGCCCUUAAAGAGAACAAAGACCAGCUAGAAUCUGUGCUGGAGGUGUUGCACAGACAGAUGGAGCAGUACCGAGACCAGCCCCAGCACUUGGAGAAGAUUGCCUACCAGCAGAAGUUGCUGCAGGAGGACCUCGUCCAUAUCCGAGCUGAGCUCUCCAGAGAGUCCACUGAGAUGGAAAAUGCUUGGAACGAAUACCUGAAGUUGGAGAAUGAUGUGGAACAGCUGAAGCAGACCCUGCAGGAGCAACACAGAAGAGCCUUUUUUUUCCAGGAGAAAUCGCAGAUACAGAAAGAUCUAUGGAGAAUUGAAGAUGUCACUGCAGGCCUGAGUACAAAUAAAGAGAACUUCAGAAUUCUAGUGGAGUCAGUCAAAAAUCCGGAGAGAAAAACGGUGCCUUUGUUUCCUCACCUGCCUGUGCCUUCACUCUCAACUUCUGAGAGCAAGCCGCCCCCACAGCCCAGUCCUCCAACCAGCCCUGUGCGGACCCCUCUGGAGGUUCGACUCUUCCCCCAGCUGCAAACCUACGUGCCGUACCGACCUCACCCACCCCAGCUGAGGAAAGUGACAUCCCCCAUUCAGUCACCAACUAAGGCGAAGCCCAAAGUUCAGGAAGAUGAAGCACCUCCCAGGCCCCCACUCCCCGAACUCUACAGCCCAGAGGAACAGCCCCCGGCUGUGCCGCCUCUGCCAAGAGAGGCCACCAUCAUCCGGCACACAUCUGUGCGGGGCCUCAAGCGGCAGUCAGACGAGAGGAAGCGAGACCGGGAGCUGGGGCAGUGUGUGAACGGGGAUUCCAGGGUGGAGCUGCGGUCGUAUGUCAGUGAGCCUGAGCUGGCGACCCUCAGCGGGGACAUGGCCCAGCCCUCCCUGGGACUUGUGGGCCCUGAGAGCAGGUACCAGACGCUGCCAGGCAGAGGGCUCUCAGGGUCCACGUCAAGGCUCCAGCAGUCGUCCACCAUUGCUCCCUACGUCACACUCCGGAGGGGUCUCAAUGCCGAAAGCAGCAAGGUGACCUUCCCUAGACCUAAGAGUGCCUUGGAGCGCCUGUACUCAGGGGAUCACCAGCGGGGCAAGAUGAGUGCAGAGGAGCAGCUGGAGCGCAUGAAGCGACACCAGAAGGCCCUGGUCCGAGAGCGCAAGAGGACACUGGGCCAAGGGGAGAGGAUGGGCCUGCCCUCAUCUCGCUACCUCAGCCGGCCGCUCCCUGGAGAUCUUGGCUCAGUAUGUUAGGAGGGGCCAGGCAGCGGGGCAGGGACAGGGAGCCGAGUGCCCCUCAGAGUCCCCCAAACACAAGCACAUCACACCUCCCAGUGAGUGAGCUGUCCAUUGACCUACAUGGUUCAGAGAACACCCCAUGGGGCUGUCUGUCCACGACCCAGGCUGGACAAACGCCUGGUCAGAGGGUGACUUGAACCAGAGCUGGAGUGGGGAUCAAACAGGCCCAGGAGCCUGAGGAAAUACCCAGUCAGUCCUCCCAGCCACGAUGGAGAGGGGCCUUUGCA